rnacentral:sRNA from 14 species
GGAGGUGAUCCCUACUUCCCUCACUACUCCUUGUGCAUCCUUUCCAAAUCUUCACAUUUGGUUGAAGAAUUCUACCUUCCCUCAUAGAAGAGGGCCAUUGUUUUGGCAGGGGAACAUGUAUAGCUGUGUUUCUCUUCUAGGGUCUCCAAACAGCUCUCAGCAUCCUCUCUGCAUGGGAGCACAUGUUUAUAAUUUCUUUAUGCUCCUCAGAAAA